rnacentral:rRNA from 1 species
UCGGGAAUUUUGGGCAAUGGGCGAAAGCCUGACCCAGCAACGCCGCGUGAGGGAUGAAGUAUUUCGGUAUGUAAACCUCGAAAGAAUGGGAAGAAUAAAUGACGGUACCAUUUAUAAGCUCCGGCUAACUACGUGCCAGCAGCCGCGGUAAUACGUAGGGAGCAAGCGUUGUCCGGAUUUACUGGGUGUAAAGGGUGCGCAGGCGGAUGGGUAAGUCAGGGGUGAAAGUCUGCAGCUUAACUGUAGAAUUGCCUUUGAUACUGCUCAGCUUGAGUGUGGGAGAGGUUGAUGGAAUUCCAGGUGUAGCAGUGAAAUGCGUAGAUAUCUGGAAGAACACCAGUGGCGAAGGCGGUCAACUGGCCCAUAACUGACGCUCAUGCACGAAAGCGUGGGGAGCAAACA